GAUGAACGCUGGCGGCGUGCCUAAUACAUGCAAGUCGAGCGAAUGGAUUAAGGGCUUGCUCUUAUGAAGUUAGCGGCGGACGGGUGAGUAACACGUGGGUAACCUGCCCAUAAGACUGGGAUAACUCCGGGAAACCGGGGCUAAUACCGGAUAACAUUUUGAACCGCAUGGUUCGAAAUUGAAAGGCGGCUUCGGCUGUCACUUAUGGAUGGACCCGCGUCGCAUUAGCUAGUUGGUGAGGUAACGGCUCACCAAGGCAACGAGGCGUAGCCGACCUGAGAGGGUGAUCGGCCACACUGGGACUGAGACACGGCCCAGACUCCUACGGGAGGCAGCAGUAGGGAAUCUUCCGCAAUGGACGAAAGUCUGACGGAGCAACGCCGCGUGAGUGAUGAAGGCUUUCGGGUCGUAAAACUCUGUUGUUAGGGAAGAACAAGUGCUAGUUGAAUAAGCUGGCACCUUGACGGUACCUAACCAGAAAGCCACGGCUAACUACGUGCCAGCCGCCGCCGUAA
rnacentral:rRNA from 1 species